rnacentral:rRNA from 1 species
CCUACGGGGUGCAGCCGUGAGGAAUAUUGGCCAAUGGUCGCGAGCCUGAUCCAGCCAAGCAGCGUGAAGGAUGACUGCCCUACGGGUUGUAAACUUCUUUUAUAAAGGAAUAAAGUGUGGCAAGUGUGCCUUUUUGUAUGUACUUUAUGCAUAAGGUUCGGCUCACUCAGUGCCAGCCGCCGCGGUAAUAUGGUGGGUCCGAUCGUUAUCCGGAUUUAUUGGGUUUAAAGGGAACGUAGCAGGGUUGUUAAGUCAGUUGUGAAAGUUUGCGGCUCAACCGGAAAAUUGCAAUUGAUACUGGCAGUCUUGAGUACAGUUGAGGGAGGCAGAAGUCGUGGUGUAGCGGUGAAAUGCUUAGAGAUCACGAAGAACUCCGAUAGCGAAGGCAGCUUACUAAACUGCCACUGACAUUGAGGCUCGAAAGUGUGGGUAUCAAACAGGAUUAGAUACCCCUGUAGUC